rnacentral:tRNA from 1 species
UGGCUGAGCGAUAAAGCGCUUGGCUUCUGAACCAGGGUACCAGGUUCAAAUCCUGG